rnacentral:lncRNA from 1 species
GUGGGACUUAAUCUACUGAGUGACUUUGGCUGUAGGACUUCCUGUUGGCCUUGCCAAAUCUUUCUUGAAGUUGCGCUGCAUUCUGAGACUUCUUAUUCAAACUUGCUGUUUUCUCCUUAUUCUUUUCAGCAGACUUGUGGCUAAAGAUCUCCUCACCUUGUUUAUCUCCCUCACCUUUAUUCUUAACUCUCAUGUUCUUCAAUAAUUCACUGUGCAUCAAAUUCUGUCUUAGUGUAUGUUUCUCAGAGGAACAUCACAAACAAAUGUUUGCAGUAGUAGUCUGAAAAAACAGGCAAGAAGUUAGAAAACCCCAGCUGGUGCUGUUCCAGUUAUUAAAGAUUUCACUGUUGGAGACCUGCAAAAUGUCCUAGUGGUAAGUGCAACGAUUUCAGAUUUGAAAGAUAUGAGAAGAUCAAUGCCCAUAGUAAUAUCAGAGUUAGCCAGUUACAACUGAGUUGUAUCGACACAUUGCAGAGAAAUAGUGAAAAACUGAGGUAACAAGCAGUUUAGAGGCUACGUAUGAAAGGGAAUUUUUUUGGUAACUUACAAAGAGACAUUAAUUUCUGGGAAUGGAUAAGUCUGCACAGCUGAAAAGCAGACUGGGCAUCUGAUAAUUAUAGCUCUCAGGUAACAGUUACAUUUCCAAGUGAAAUAGGUUAUUAUGCUAAGGUCAGAGCCUUAUUGUUAAAACCUGGGACCCAGAAAUAUGGGAUGAGACUAGAUGAGUGCCUCACAUGAUGUUGGCUGCACAAAGCCUUUUAAUUUCUCCUAGCUUGUGAACGUGGCCAACCCAUCCCUAAUAGGAGUCAGAAUUUCUCCUAGGCUGGAAGAUGCUGCUUCAACAAGACAAUAAGGCAUCUACUCAUGAGUUGUCUCUAUCUUCUCUCUUGGCCUCCAGUUUCACUAGGGUUAAAUUCAAGGGAGAGUUAUUUGGAACUUGCUGAUCCUGAUAAGGGAAGAAAAGGAUUAUAUGAUAAAGCAGUUGUAAUGAUUAGAUUUAAAAAGUUCACAGGAGGCAAGAGAGUAUUCCUAAUAUUGAUUUAGAUUGAGUUUGCUUACCUGGACCAGAAUAUAAGACAUUGUAAACAAGAAGAGCCAUUGAUUUGGAGACAUUUUCUUGGGAUUCCAUAUUUUGUACCCAGGGAAGGACUCCACAAGUUUGGGAAGCUCACUGCUGGAGUGGAUCUUAGAGGUACAGAGAAAGUGAUGGCCAACACUAAAUGACGUAUAAAUGAAUGUGUUUUCCCUGCAGGUUGUAGGGUAAUAAAUAAACAGCUGACAUGAGUAGAAAUGCUGGGUUGGAUAUAGAAUGUGAGGUUGGAAGAGUCACAGAGGAUAACAUUUCUAUUUCACUUGUAGCCCAGAGGACCCACUAUUCAUCAAGGCUACCAGAAUACACUUUUGUGGAAUACCAACAUCACCAACAAGUUCAAUAACAACUUUCCUCUAUGAGUUAAUUCUUAGAAAAAAAUGAAGUGAUACUGAAACCCCAGAGGCAUACAGAGACUACUCACAGUAACAAAUACUUGAACAUGCAUGGUUGUGAUCACCACAAUAUCCUCACUCAAUUUUCUCAUCUGGCUUCUUCAAGGAAAAAAGAAAAAGAAAAAAAAAAGACAUAGAAAAAUUAAUAAAUAAUGUCUAAACU